CUCAGAGGCCAGAGCGAGACCCAAAACGCAGAGGAAGGUCACUGCUGCUCCAGGAUUCAUACUCGCUAUGAAUUACAUUGCUGACUUCACACCCAGAGAAGCAUCUUUCUUCUUUUAGGUGGAAAUAUAUAUUUAUUUUUUUGUAAGUUAUACCAUUCUUUCACAUUGGAUAAACCAAGUUUUUCUUGGGGAUCUUUUUCUAAUGACUUACACUGGAAACGUGAACAUUUGCAAGUAAUUUACAGUAAAAAAAAAAAUUUUGUUUCUUACUGAACAACUGCUCUGUUUUCUUUGGGGUGUUAGCUGCGGGUUCUGCCAUGUCCUUCAGAAGUCAGGACAGGGUUACCCUCUUGCCUGCUUCUGUUCUUUGUCUUUGGCAAACCCAUUGUCUCCAGUGGGAGCUCUUGUCCAGGAACGGGACCUGAGAGGUGAAGACACAGGUGGGGUUCAGUGGGGAAUUGGCAUGGCACCGUGGACAGAGCCUGGGCUUGAACCCUGCCCUUGCGGUUUGCUGACUGGGUGACCCUGCACGAGUCACUGGAGUCCGUCUUUGCCACAGCUGCCUUGUCUGUAAAACGGGGCUGAUCAUACCUGCCCCGCGGGAUUGUUGUGCUGAUGAGCAGUGAUGUGUUUGUGGCACGCACGACCUUGGUCAUCUAAGACACAAGCCAGGCAAAGGUCCCAUGUGGCCAAAGUUAGCUGAGAAAAUCUCUGUGUUAGGUAGGCCAGGCUGUGCUGGGGUAGCAAAUUAGCCGUGAACUCUUAGGAAAUGAAUACCUGGGUUUAUCUCUCACUCAGGGCAUUUUUUGAUGAGUGCCAGAUCCUCUCUAGGGUCUUCCUGUCUUCCCUGCAGCAACAGAGAGACCCAGGCUGUUGUGGUCUUACAGCAUCACACCGCCCAAGGGCUGGCUUGUGGAGAUCGGCACCACAGGGUGGGGGGAAGUGGGCAACAGGAUGACGCACCCCCGUUCUUAAGUGCCCCAAACCGGAAGCGAUACAAAUCUGUUUCACUCAGCCCAGUGGCCAGAGGCAGUCACGUGGCCCCAGCCCCACCGCAAAGGAAGCUGGGAGAUGCAGGGGGAGGUAAGGAAGAGCAGUACCUCCCCUAGUGGUCAUUCUCGUGGUCUCUGAUUCGUGUCUAGCGGGGAAGUGAGGCUGGCGUGUUGGGUUUCUGUUUGCACCGGGUGAGUCUUGCUCGUGAAGAGUUGCCGUGUUUGGGGAGCAAGCCAUCCAUGCUGCACCCUGAAAGCAGGCUCCUGAGUAGCCGCGCAGAGCGGGCAUCUCGCCAUGUCACCCGGAGCAUGGACGUGCUCAGUCAAGAGAGGCUGGUCAGCUGGUUCCCCUUGGAAGGGAAGUAUUUGGAUAUGCCAUGUGGGGGGUCAGUUUUAGGGGUGAGGUCCCAGGCCAGAUCCUAACCAGGUGUCCCAAGUGUGCGACCUGGUGUGUGCCUCGUGGGCGUGCGCCGUGGGACAACCGGUGCUCAGGAGGGUCGCGGGCCUGGGUUCAAGCUCACACUGCUUCCUGAAGAGGAGACUGCGUGCGGCCUUAACCUCGGAGACGGUGGCAUCCGAAGCCCCGAGGCUGGGGCUGGGUUGCUGCCACGCGGGUCCGUGUCGUGCCCCUGUGACCGCCACCUCAGCGAUCUCCCUGCUGCCCUGGCCAUCCCCCCUCCCCCCGGUACAGUCUGUUCUCCACCCAGCAGCAUCGUGUGCCUUUAAAAACCCUCCAUCACAACCCUCCAGUGGUCCCCGUGUCUGGUGGCAGCCAGCUUCCCUGCACACCCUGGCUUCCCGUCCGUAAGCUCUGCCUCCAGCUCCCCUCUGGCCACCUAGCAGGCCCCUCCAGCCACAAAGCCCCUCUGCUGUCCUUCCAGCAUGCCGGGCACUGUCCCGCCCCUGGGUCUUCCCUCUGCCCCAGAUGUCAGCAUGGCUGGUCGCUGCCCUCUUUUCUUUCACAGUGGCGGCUCCCCGAGAGCAAGGCUCUGAUUGCCUUACUCCGUAAUGACUGCCCACCCUGGGCCCAUAGCUCACCCCCGGUGACUGCCUUCUCUGAUCCAACACCGACCGCGCCAUGCCGGGCCCUGGGCCAAGUGUGACGUCAUCGGGCCCUCUAGAACCUGCCUUUCAGGAGCUGUGGUUUCUUCAUUGGUACAGCUGGGAUUGUUUUGUCCAUCUGGCCAGGUGGGUGUGAGGAUGGAAGCCGAUGCAGGUAAAGCACCCAGCGCCACGGGCGCUUGGCCCUCCGGACACCAUCCUACAUGGUGAUGGCUUUCAUUCAUUCGUUUGUCCAUCCAGCCAUCCCUAUAUCCAGCCACCCAUCCAUCCGUGCAAUCGUCAUUUAUUAAACAUGGCCACGGGCUGUGCACUGUGCGGGAUGCUGGGAGACACAGUGAAUGCAUGUGAACACAUCCCUGUGUCAAGAAGGAAAGGAGCCCAUUCCUUCCCUUCUGGGGGUGGGGGGUGGGGCGCGGUGCUGCCAGAGUGGAAUUCAGCCGUCAGCGAGCUGACGUUCUAGAGCUAAAGGAGUGUGCACGAGGCGGCUCAGUGGUUAGGAUGUGGGCUCCGGCUCCAGGCCACCCGGGGUUCAGAUCCCUGCAUUUUCUCAUCGGUGAAAGGGGCCUCACGAAAGUGUCCUAGUAAGGUGCUAACCCUGGUCCCUUCCUCCCCCCAUUGUAAGGAUUCACUGAAAGGCUGUGGCAGGCAUCGGGGCAGGGCUUGGUGUGUGUCAGCAGUGACGCGAGGGGACAUGGGAGGAGGAAGGACCAACCGAGACGGGCACUGACCACAGGUCUGUACGUGACUUUCCCUGUAGCUGUCUCCCCACGAGCCUUUGGCACGGUCUCCGGGGAUCCGUGGUGUGCGCCCCCCCCACAGCACCCUCAUUAGUGCUGGCUCCCAUAGCACCCAUCCCCUCUGUCCGUGAAAAAGCCUCCAAGGACCCCGAGUGCGUUUGCCAAACACACAGCGGCUCCCGCUUUUGCCUGCGGUCCAUGUGGCCGGAUGUCAGGGGCCCCGCUCCAACCAAAGUGCAAAGUGCUGCAUCUGGUCCCUUCCUGUCCUUCCAAGUUGGGCAGGAUCCCCCAAGCGAUGCCUUGGGCUAUGGUGUUAAGUAGACCCAGGACAGACCCCCCUCACCCCCGCCAGCCCGCUCUGCCGCUAACAAGCCCGGUGAUCUUGGCAUGCCAAGGUCAUGUGAGCUCUCUCGGCCUCAUUUUCUGCAUUUCCGAAACGGAGUUGGUAGGUGCUAGUAAUGGUGGGGCCAGCCCUUCGGAGGCAGGACUGGGGGCUGGCAAGGGAUGCAGCCCUCUGACCCCACUUGGAAGGCAUCCAAAUGAGCUUCUGGCCACACCUUGGCGGAGGGACGUAGAAGCUGCAGUUAGAUCUAGAUUUAGUUUCCUCCGGGCUGAAAACCCUACGCUGGAUAGAACAGCGUAAGGUCCCUUGACGUGGCUGGGACAGGGUGGGUGGGUGUCCACAGGCCCUUCCUGAUAGAGCAACACAGCUGCUGUCCGUGUAUCUGGGUGAACGGUGGGUUGGCUUAGCCCAGUCCCUCUCAAUCAGGUGACUGAUCCCCCAGGGGACAGUUGGCAGCAUCUGGAGACAUCUUGUCACAACAGGUGACGGUAUGAUUGGCAUCUAGUGAGGAGAAGCCAGGGAUGCUGCCGAGCAUCCCACAGUGUGCGACCCAGAAUCAUCAACCCCACGUCAGUAGUGAUGCGGUUAAAAAAAAAAAUCCUGGCGUGUAUACCCUCUGCCCCACGGAGGACCCAAGGAGCUCCUCCAACAGAACGCGAUGCCACGAGGUCACGGCAGAACCCUGGGCUGCCAGAAAGUUCUCAUCCAAGGCUUGGACUCGUUCUCAUGCCGCCCUUCACUGCAGCGUGUCUGUGUGACCUCAGGCUUGGCUAUCUUAGACUCUGGUCCCUCUUGGCCCAGGCACGCAGCCGGCUUUAGCCACGCCGUAUCAGGUUUCCGACUGCGGAGGGAAACAGGCCGAGCCCCAUAGCGCGCCAUGCUGGUGCCUCCCCUGGACGAGUGAGCAAGACCUGGCCCAGCUCUGCCGCGGACCUGGGGCUUCCAACAGUCUCCCGAGGACACUCUCCGACUGAUGCACCCGC